CAGUUGUUCAUUUCUGGUGUGUACAUUCUGUAAGUUCGAGGCGUGUCCUAUUUUUAUGAUUAGGUGGGGAAUAAUACAGGUCAUGUCAAGCCAAACAGGAGAAAGGAAAGGAAAGAGAGUGCUCUAGAGUCAUGAAGAUGUGCUCGCUAUUCCAAGAUCCUUCAGAACUUAGAUCCCAAAGGCUGAGUGAACGUUCCAGUCACAUGGGAAUAAGACGCUGUUAGGACGGCUGAGGUCAGCAGAGCUUGGCGAAGACCUACUACGCACCAGGACUGUGGGGUUCCUGCCGCAAAUGCAAAGAGAGACGAGAUCCCAGAGGACCUGUUUUUCUUCUCUCUUGCUUCGGAGUCUGCAUUAUCUGAUCGUAGGACCUUUCUCGGGGCUGGUACGUGUGCCCAGCCCAGGAAUGCGCUUCCUGUCUGCGGUGUUUCUCUGCACUGGCUUCCUCCCUCCCUCUCCACCCUCCUCUGACUUCCUUUCCCGGAUGAUGACGCUGGGUCUCUGUGACUGCGGCCGCAACGUGGAGGAAGAGCCGGGACUCCCAGCGCUGCAUUGGCCCAUGUCUCCUGGUCUCUUCCUGCUGCUCCACGGAACUGCCCACGAACGCUGUCCUCCGCGGGACCUUGUCUGCACCUGGCACUCUGUCCUGGCUGGAGGGUGAACUUCCUUCCCCGCCUGCAAGUGCCUCCUCUUCUGCCUCCUUUCCUUCCGUCGCGCUGAACCUCUUCCACAUUCUCUGGUUGCCCCCCUCCCUCCAUCAGACCGUCCAGGAUGGCCUAAGGGACGGUAGCUCGUGUCUAUCACACUCUUGUUGGCACCUUCUCACGCAUCCUCCACCACCGUUGUCCCUCUGCCGUGUCCACUUUGCUGGGUCCCUUCCCUGGUUAGACCAAAUGUUCCACAAAACAUUAUCGAGCACCCGCUCAACGCAGCAAAGAGCUGGGAUAUCCAGAUCUUGUCCUUUAAAAACUGCUUUUCCGUGGUUGAGUGUAGUCGAGUGGGAGAUAGCUUGGUUCGGUGCAGUAGCCCAGGGUAGAGCGUGGAACGGACCGGGUUAGAGUCCAGACGUUACCACCUUGGGCAGAUUACUUCUCUGACCCAUCCGUAGAAGGAAGUGACCCUACCUCUUAGGAAAGAAGUGCCUUGUAAACUGAUAAAAGCUCAAAGGUCAGGAAGGCAAACACUUGUGCAGGCUUGAACUCCAGCCCCUCAGUAACAGCUCACUCUGCACCCUCCCCCCACCCCAGUCCUGGACUUCAUGACUGGUAAGUCUUGUGACUUUGCGUCCUUUGUGUGGAUGUAUUGAAACUACGCCUUCAGUCAAAAUGACCCUGGUUUUCAGUCCCCAGAGUGGGGAACCCAGAUGCCGAGCCUCUCUUGGACAGCCAUAAUCCUCAUGUUCUUGAUCUGUUCCACGGGCUCCGGCUUCCCAGCAUGGAGACGCAUUCUGCCCCUCCUCUCCCUCGAAUUCAGGUUCUCCUGCAUUUGCUCCGAGGAGCAGAACACAGUAGACGUGAUUCUGCCAGACUUCCCACGCUGGGUUCCAAGAAGCCUCCCAGCUUCUGCCGGACCCUCAUGAUCUAUUUCCUUUGGGGAAAGCCGGCUGCCAUGCUGGAAGGAAACGCACGUUAUCCUCAGGGAGAGAGACAUCAGAGCACCCCCAGCCCCUGCAACCGCGCAGGCCAGGUGGCGGACACAGUCAAUGGGAGAGAAGGUGGCAGCCCCCGCCGUCCACGGACGCUGCCUUGGGAAGGUCCGCACUAGGGAACCACCCAGCUAAGCCGCCAGUCCGUGAGAACGAGGCGAGAUGAGAAAUCAUCUUGGCCCCCAAGCUUUGGAGCAAUUUGAUGUUCACUAGACUAGAUAACGGGGGCCAGAAUAUUUUUCAUCAGGACACAGAAAAUCGUCUUUAUUAGAACCCGUUGGGAGAAGUUUGCUUUGAAGCUGGAUGCCAAAAAGACUUGAGGGACGAGUCGUCCCCUGUCAUCCGCUCACUUCCAACCACACUGUCUCACGGUCCAGAUUCCAGCCUUUCAUGUUGGCUGGACCAGAAAGCCCAGAGCCAUCGGCUGCGCUUUUUGAAGGUGACAUGCAGGUGACAUUUUGCAAGUAUGGUUUCUUCUGUAUUCUGUUCUUUGGCCUUUCUGUUUUCUUUUUUCCCUUUAUUUUUAACCCCCUGCUUUUAUGCUAACUUAAAAUUUCCAUACCCCUGUAAGCUUUCUGAAAUCAUUUCUGUAAAAAGGUGGGGAGUGAUCCACUUAAAUAAAUAGAGUAUUUUCCAGGAACUGCACGGAACUUCCAAAGAGGUCACAAAGUUGAAUGAGGCUAAGAUUCUUACAGAAAUGUCUCUUGCGGAUGUUAUAUAACCCUCAUGAUAACCAUGACAGGAGAAAUGUAGAAAGUGCUCCAAGAAUACAGAAUAAUUCGCUCCCGUGUGGGGUUGGCGGUAGACAGCUGCGCUGAGCUGGGCUCGGAAGGAACGAGAGGUCAUUCUAAGCAGAGUUCAGUACAAAGAAUAGGUAUUUUCUCCUCCUAAGACACAUCCCCCUACUACUGCCACUCACCCAUCCCCUCCAGGAUUAUUCUAGAAACUUCUCACACUAUCAGCUUUCAUCUCUACCAUGCCCUGGAGUCUUUCCUUCAGCCAACAAAGAUUUCCAAGUUUCCCCACCUUGUAAACAAACAAACCAACCAACCCUCACCUUCCUGGCACCCUCCUGUCCCUCAGGCUUCUGUGCCUGUGUCCCUUCACCGCCAGGCUUUUGGAAAGAGCUGUCCACACGCACGACCUCCACUUCAUCCAUAGCCCGGUGGUUCUCAGACCUGACGACCCAUUAAAACUCUGAGUAUUUCUUUGAACUUCCAGAGCCCAGGGCACCCCCACCCCAGAGCGAUAAUCACAAUCUCUGGGGGUAGGACCCAGGAGUUCGUGGGUAAAACUCCCCCAGGAAAUUCCAGUUUCAGUAGGGAGUCCCUGGCAGCCGCUUUCCUCCAAGGCCACCGGUCACGUGACUCUCCCCUGUCUAAAUCCCAUGCCACCGUCUUACUCCUGACCCUGCCUUGUUCCUGAAGCGUUGGAAGACUUGGCCACCAGCCAAGUACGAAGUCCGAGCGUUCAAAGCCUUCCCCGCCGUGGCCUCUCACCAAACCCGAGCGUGGUGCUGCUCAGAUACAUGGGUUUGGUGGGACAGAAAAGAAAGCGCUGGGGCGGGACUCGGAGUCCAGAGGUGAUGCCCGUUCUGUAACCUGGAACGCGCCCCGGGAAGGUGGGCCCGGCCUCCGACCACAGGGCGGCAUCCCGGGAGGCUGGCAGACGUGUCUGUUCACUCAGCACCCAUGCUGUUCCCGGUCCGUGCAGGCGUGGGGGAAGUGCUGGUGCAGGCAAACAGGACAGGCUGGGGGCGUCCGGGGCGUGCUCACGCUCCACCCCGGGGAAGGGCUCCGCAGACAGAGUCCCUCCGGAGCCAGAGACAGGGUCCAGAGCGUGUAGGGACAGGCUGUGUCAAUGGCAGGCAGGACGCCGGCCAGAUUCCGGGGGAGAGAAUCCCCACCCGUGGAGCCCCACCCCUGUGCCAGGCAGUAAAUGGGACAUUGUCUGCUCGGUGUCCCCAGGAAGCAGACUGCGUCUCUGAGCCAGAGAUAAGCCUGUAGGAGGUGGACCGGGCAGUGCUCCUGGCACCGGCCCGUGAAAGGGAAGGAGACGGGAAUGGGCAGAUGGUGGGUGAGGUGGGCGCCAGGAAGGCCGCUCUGCCUGCGCGGGGAUCUCCGACGACCGGGGGUUUGAACGACUUCUCAGUAGUCACACGGCAGGUGUGUCUCAGAGAAGAAAUCCGACUCUGGUUCGGAUUCGCCCCCUUGCUCAUGCCUUCUCCGUCCUGGACACAGAGGGAUCUCACCUCCAAGGAUGUGAAAACUGGCUUUGGGGGACAAAACAACUUCAGGCAUCCCGGUGGUUUGCGGCUCUCCAAAGGGGCCCACAAUAUGACAAAUGUGUCCUUGUGCUAUUAAAAUUUCCUGGGUGCCAUAAUUAGGGGAAAAAAUGUCUAAAAAGAUUUGGGGAGGGGGACAAUAAUGACCCAAAGGUUGGGAAGCAGCUCUGGGGGCGCGUGGGUGGGGUUCAGAGGUAUAACAGAAAACGAGACCAUCCAUAUUGGGAUGGCGUUGUGGAAGAAUCAGAGAAUGGCUGGGCCAGACAGUGGGCAGCCGUCUGGGACUUUCCAUCAGAGAAGUAGCCUGUGUUUUAGAAGUGUCCCGGGAGCCGCAGCGGGAAGGGUCAGACAGGGUCGAGGAAGGCCAUCGCCACGGACCGACAGACAGGAGGUGACGAGAGUCAGAGCCCGCCGUUGUCCUAACCUUAAGUCCGUGAUGAUUAUAUCUGGAGAUUCUUAACUAAUUAAUUCUUCAAAGGUUCUCUUUCUGAGUCAGGUCACGUUCGGAGGUUCUGAGUGAUCAUGAAUUCCGGUGGAACUCUGCUCCGCUCACACCCGGGGGUCGGAUGUGGUUUGGAACCACCGAUGGCAGGGAGGUAGGACACGGGAAACACGGAAGAUACCGGAGGGGAGGCUGACAGAGCGAGAGGAGAGGCAGGACAGGAGAGAAUCAAAAGCACGAAGAGAGGACCAGCAUUGACCACAGGUCGCCCGCAAGGUGGGUUGUAAAUGAGAGCAGGAAGGUGAAGACUUGACGGGGGUGAGUGGGGAAGCUGGAGGGUUCUCCGGCGGGUUCUCGAGCCGCACGCGUGGUUCUCUGCCUGGAGGACAAGCAGGGGACGAGGCUGGAAGAGCUGACAUGGAUUGCUGAGGCCCGGAGCGUCGCCCUGGAGUGUGACGGUGUGUGACCGCGGGCUGAGCAGCCGUGAGGACCCGGCUGAGGCUCCAAGAAAGCCAGUCAUCGAGACAGAACCUGGCUGAGUCAUGACGUUGACCGAACCAGCCUGCCGAGCUUGAUCAAACCCCGAGCUUCACGAGGAAAUCUCGGGACAGGUUCUUCAUCUUUGAAAUUACUCAUCUAAUUUAAAAAAGCAAAACCUAGGCAUCACGUCCCCCAGAAGGGGAAAAACAAAAACAAAACGGCGCACAAUUUAACAUUAGGUUGGUUCCGUAGUCAGCGCCGAAAACCUUUCUAACAAAUCUAACCCCGCAUUCAAGUAAUUGCCAGAUCGGCAAACGGGGGAUGUAACGGACGCGUUGCAAUGAAAGAAGGAAAUCUCGGGGGGCACCUGGGUGGCUCAGUGGGUUAAAACCUCUGCCUUCGGCUCAGGUCAUGAUCCCAGGGUCCUGGGAUCGAGCCCGACAUCGGGCUCGUUGCUCUGAAGGGAGCCUGCUUCCUCCUCUAUCACUCUCUGCCUGCCUCUCUGCCUACUUGUGAUCUCUGUCUGUCAAAUAAAUAAAUAAAAUCUUAAAAAAAAA